CCCGCGGAGCACUAUAGCUGGAAGAUCGAAUGCUACUACUGGGAAGACGACGAAGACGUUGUCCUGGACCUCUCCCUCCACCUGGACAGCCAAUUCAACAGGUUCAAUGGCUUCUGCGAGGGCUUCCUGGUGCGAAGUGACGGCGCUCCGUCUUCGUGCCGCUUAAAAAGGUCGGUGCUGGAGAUCGACGAGUACACAACAGGUAACCACGUCAGCUGGUCUGGUGAUCUCUGCGUGAAGCGAAAUCGCCUGGAGUCGCGCUAUGUCAAGAACGGCGUGAUCACGCUCAUAUGUGGUGUCAUGGCUCUGCCCGGGAACUCCAUACCCGUGCCGGCCACGAACAUCGGCGACCAUCUCGGAAGCCUGCUGGAAUGCCCCGACGGCUCAGACGUCUCCUUCGUGGUCGGCGGCGAGACGUUCCGCGCCCACCGGGCCGUGCUCGCCGCCCGAUCGUCGGUGUUCAGAGCAGAGCUCUUCGGUUCCUUAGCGGAGGCCAAGAUGCAGUACAUCACAUUGCAUGGCAUCGAGCCAUCAACGUUCAAAGCUAUGCUUCGGUUCAUGUACACGGACAGAUUGUCCGUGUUGUUCGACCCCGAAAGCUUUUCCCCAACGGCACAACAGCUUCGGCGUGUGCUUGCAGCAGCGGACAGGUACGACCUCGGCAGAUUAAAGCUCAUGUGUGCUCAGGAGCUAUGGAACAUGGUAUCGGUGGAGACAGUCGCGACGACAUUAGGUUAUGCUGACAUGCACAACUGUCCGGAGCUCAAGAACAGGUGCCUCGACUUCUUCAUGGUGGGGGAGAACUUCACGAGAAUUGUGGUAACCGAGGGGUACCUGUGGCUCAUGCAACGCUUCCCGUCGGUUAUCGAUUAG
rnacentral:rRNA from 1 species